AAAUGAAUAGACGGGGGCCCGCACAAGCGGUGGAGCAUGUGGUUUAAUUCGUCACUAACCGAAGAACCUUACCAGGGUUUGACAUCUAGGGAAUCCUGAUGAAAGUCGGGAGUGCCCCCAAAAGGGGAGCCCUAAGACAGGUGUUGCAUGGCUGUCGUCAGCUCGUGUCGUGAGAUGUUGGGUUAAGUCCCGCAACGAGCGCAACCCUCAUCCGAUGUUGCCAGCGUUAAGUCGGGAACUCUUCGGAAACUGCCCGUGUAAGCGGGAGGAAGGUGGGGACGACGUCAAGUCAGCAUGGCCCUUACGCCCUGGGCUACACACAUGCUACAAUGGACGUUAACAGAGGGAAGCAAUACCGCGAGGUGGAGCAAAUCCCAAAAAUACGUUCUCAGUUCGGAUUGCAGUCUGCAACUCGACUGCAUGAAGUCGGAAUCGCUAGUAACCGCAGGUCAGCUAAACUGCGGUGAAUACGUUCCCGGGCCUUGUACACACCGCCCGU
rnacentral:rRNA from 1 species